CCGCCUUCAACCUUGGCCGUGCUUCCUGCGCUCUGGUGCAGCCAUGUUCCUUCUCCUUGCACUGCUCGCUGAGCUUGGAAGGCUGCACGCCCGCCUGGAUUCUGACGGGGUAUUCCUGCAGGUCACAGUUCCACGGAAGAUAAAGUCAAACGAGAGUGAAGGUUUAGAGAAGCAGUAUGAUUAUAUGGAAUGAGAAAUGAUGGCUGUAACACAGAAAAUUAUCCAGAUUAUUGACCUUACUAACACUGUACCCAAAUAUCCAGUGAAUGACUCUGUCUAUUUUUGGUACUACAUACCAGUUGCUGAGGUGGAACAGUGAAUAGCAUGGUAGACACCAUCAGGAUUCAGCUUAGCCAUACUAAGAUGUGCUGGGGCCAGGCCAGCUGUUUCUUAAUAUGCCAUUUAAACUCCACAAGUACAGCUGGUUAGUUGUGGAGUCCAAGCUGACUCACCCAAUAAUGGGAUAUCAGGCCAAGAAUCACAAGGCCUCCUCAUAUGUCAAAUCAGUUUCAUUAAGUCCAAUAGGAAGUAGAUAACUUCUUUUCAAAAGUAGUGUAUGAGGCAGCCAUGUCUGGCAGGCAAUGAGUCCAAAACUCCAAGGAGUACCUCCAUGUUCAGGCUGCCUCUCGUUUGCACUGUUUCCCAUUGGCAAGGCAUCAGUCACAGAUACUUGUAGUUCAAAGGGGUGACUAGGGUUGAAG
rnacentral:lncRNA from 1 species